rnacentral:lncRNA from 1 species
GAGGAGUGAGUAUAAGUCGCCGAUGUUGGUGACGCGAGAUGAUGGUAUUCGUGUGUGUGUGUGGCCUCUUUAGGUCGAGAGGUGGAGGAGUGAGUAUGAGUCGCCGAUGUUGGUGAUGCGAGAUGAUGGUAUUCGUGUGUGUGUGUGGCCUCUUUAGGUCGAGAGGUGGAGGAGUGAGUAUGAGUCGCCAAUGUUGGUGACGUGGAAUAAUGGUGUUUGUGUGUGUGCGUGGCCUAUUAGGUCGAGAGGUGGAGAUAUGGGUAUGAGUCGCCGAUAUUGGUGACGUGGAAUGAAGGUGGUUGUGUGUGUGUGUGUGUAGCAUCGUGAGGUCGGGAGAUGGGGGAAGAGUGUAUGAGUCUCCGAUGUUGGUGACGGGAGUUAAUGGAUGAUUGUUGGGUGGGUGUGGUUGUUUGGUCGUGCUAUUUCCUUGGAAUAGGACCUUGAUGAUUAGUGUAGGGAGGGGGUUAUGAGUUGUUUGGGGUUGGGUAGGAUAAAUGCAUAUAGACAUUUCUGGGAAUUCUUGUCACUGCAUAUUGCACUUACAACUUGAUUUUUAUCGUAUUGAGUUAUGUGAACUCACUUCUCAUCAUUCACAGGUGGAGUAAGAACGGAAUUGGGAUCCGAGCGGCUGGUAACGGAGCCCCGUCGGUAGUGCCAUAGGGCACAAGUUUUGUUUGUGAUUUAAAGUAGUUUGAAAGGAUGGUUUAGUCUGGAUAUUGAAUAUCUAGGAAUGUUUGAUAUUGUAUUACUAUGUGUUGUAGAGGUAGAGAUGUAUGUACAAUUGAUUUGGAACAAGGAAGGUGGACAAGUUUCUCUUGUGCAUGGUUGGAAUAAUAUGGAUUUCGGUAUUGUGUUGUAUGAGUGCUUUAUCGUAUACCGUUAAGAAAAAAAAAAAAACGGGGUGUUACAAGGACAUUGGUGAAGUUAGGUUUGUCCUUAGCGUAGACAUAAUGAGAGACCAUCCCAAAAAAUUUCUACGAGUGUGCUAAGAAGCAUAUAUUAAGAAACGAUUUUAAAUGCAUAAUUUCAAACCCGUUGACACUCUUGUUAAGAAGGGUUUAACCUUUAGUCUUGAUCAGUGCCCAAAGAUAAAUGAAGAGAAAAAAAAAAGCAAUAUUCCUUAUACUAAUGCGAUAGGCAGUUUGAUGUAUCUCAUAUUAUAUACACGACCAGAAAUUUGUUUUACAGUUGGUUUGGUAAGUCGUUAUCAAAGUUCUCAGUGGGCAAAAAAAUAAAUAUUUUAUUUUAUUACUUAUGUAUUAAGAUUAAUCUGAAUUUUCUUAACCGAAAAUGUAACACCCAAAAUAAUUUUUUUCUAUUUUAUUUUUUUAUUUUUGAUUUAAUUUAAUUUAAAUUAAUUUUUGUGAAUAUAAAAUAUUAAUAAUGAUAAAAUUGGGUAAAAAUAUUAUUUGGAUUUAAUUGAAAUUGAUUUUGGAAAAAAAGUGGUGAAAAUUUGGAUUCAGGGGGUAUUUUUGAAAAGAAAUUCGGAAACCAGGGGUCAAAACGUAAUUUAGAAAAAUUGUGCCCCGUCAGCGUCACGUCAGCAGCCACGUCAGCGGCCCAGUCAGCAACCCUGGCCAACGAGGACCUGCCGCGUGGCAAGGCCACGCCGACCCGGGAACGGGCCAUGUGGACGAUCAGCGUGCACGCGAUCGGACGGCCCAGAUGCAAGCGCACGGACGGCCCAGAUGCACGCGCACGGACGGCCCAGAUUCAAUCAAGUACGGACGGUCCAGAUUUAAUCGCGAUGGACGGCCCAGAUUUAAUCUAAAUUAAAUCGCGAUCGAACGAUGUAGAUUAAAUCAAGAUGGACGGCUGUGAUUAAAAGGCAAAUGGUAUAAAUAAACCCCCCACACCUGACCACAGAAACCCUAGCCGCUAGCCCUCGCCGGAGAAGACGAGCCAGACGCCGGAGGAGCCGGCUGCCGCCACCCGCUGCCGCACUGGGGAGUUUUUUGACCGCCAAUCGAGGUAAAUUUCAUACCCCCGGCUCGUUUUUCAAUGCUGAGUUCCCUUGUGGUCAAAUCGGAGUCAAACUCCCGGCCAAACGGUCGAAAAAUACGACCGAAACCCAGCGGCGCCGCUGCGCACCUCCUCGAUUUUUGCCUCCGAUGAGGCCCUUCCCGGCCUCCGUUUGAUACAAUUUUUAUAUCACCGUGAUCACCAUUCUUUUCUCUACAGGUUGAUCGGAGCCAAAUCACCAAAACACGAACCACACCGGAGAGCCUCCGCACCCAAGAGUACUGCCGCCGGUAAGCUUCGGUUUUUCGUAAUUUUUUGGCCCCCCGAGGGCCCUAGGGUUGUUUUAUCGCAGGGACCGAUGUAAGUGUGGCCGAAUUCGGCCAAAAACGGCCAACCCGAGGCGAAUCGCCGAUGCAAGCGGCGGCGCCGUCACCGGAGCACGGCGGACCCACCGUGCUAGAAUUGCAAUAUUGGCCGAAAGGGGCCCUAGGUCUGAUUCUGAGAUUUUUGGGACACGUGCAAGUACCGGUAGCGUGUUUCAUUUUUUCGAAAAAAAAUUCAUGAAAUUUAGGGAUAACCCGCAGGCGCUCGGAAAAGCCUAUUUCAGGUCCCGAAAACAAGUAAGGAUUCCUCACCCUAUUUUCUAUCACGGUAUUAAAGUGCAAUAAAUGAUAAAAUGCUAUUUCAUGAAUCAAUAGCUGUGUGAAAUUGUUUAAGGUUGCUAAUGGAGCCCGAGUCUAGUGUAUUUGUCGGUUAGUUGUUGUUUGUUCUAUUUUACAAUUUUAAAUGCAGUAUGAUGUCUGAUAUUUUUAUUUCAUAGUUUCGUGUGCAUGUAUCACAGUUUCAUUGAUUAUGGACUGAAUGACUGAGAACCCGAUGUUGUGUGUUGUCUUGUUGGCGUGAACUACCGGUUUGAAUAUUUGUGUGUGACUUGAUGAUGGUGACUAAAGAAAAAGGGAUAAAAGGUUAUGUGAAUUGGCAAACGGAUAAUGUGGACAGCCUGAGUAGGUAUCCUGAGAGAUGGUGGACGGACCGGGUCCGUAGGGAACCCUACCGGGAACGUGGUCUCUCAUACCGGACGGGGUAUGGAGACCUUAUGUGUUUUGGCGCCCAUACCGGACGGGGUAUGAGGACGACCCGUUUCACCCUCAUACCGGACGGGGUAUUGAGGUUCAUGGUUUUGGCGUCCAUACCGGACGGGGUAUGGGGACGGCCCUGGAAUCAGGUUAUAAAUGUUAAGGAUUCACGGGUAGCGGGACCCCUAUGGAUCCCCAUGGAUACUAGUAGGCUGGUAAAGAGGAAUUAUGCUGUUUAAAGAUUGAAAUGCAAACGCGUGAUAAAUGUUGUAUUAUAAAGUCUAUGUGAUAACGUGAUGAUGAUAAUGUGUUGCUUGUGUAUUAUUUUAUGGAUCUCAUCCAGGUAAAUGGAAAGUAAACGUUUUUAUGAACAAAUGGAUUUAUUACAAAUUAUGCUCAAUUGGUCGUUUUUAUUUUCUACCCACCCUUACUCCUGUGGCAGUGAGGUAGAGUGAUGUCUUUACUGGGCUAGUGUAGCUCACUCGUUACUUAACUAUUUCAGAUCAGGAAUAUGUGGUUCCCGAGCCCGUUCCGCAGGAAGACGGCGAAGGGGACGCCUAAAGAUCCCAUAGUUAUAAUUGUAGUUCUUACUUUCGAGCAUUUAUUUUAAUUAGUUUAUUCCCUCAUUUGUUGAACACGUUUUGGUAUUGCGUAAGGAAUGUUAAUUGUAAUGUUUAAUACACUUCCGCAAAUUCAGAUUAUUUAUCUAUAUAUAUGCCUUUCCAAUAUUAAAUUUUUCCUGGGCCGUUACAGAAUAUAAGCAAACAAGAGUUAGAGAUAAAUGGCUCCACUCUUCUUUCAUUUGAUUUUUAAAAUUAUUUUGGUAUUUGAAAGUUUCCUCUGCCUGGUCCCUUGAUGUAACUUAAUUUGACUAUUUUUUUGUUUUUUCGAUUUAUACAUGAACGUCACAAGCAUUUAUUACAUAUUCUAGCUAUGAUAAAAAUAUUAGCAUGCAAAAUUGUUUUAAAUGACUAGUGUAUACCCAUAAAACUAUUGAUGCUUUAUGUCCUUUAUAGCAUGACACUUCCCUAAUUUUAAACUCCCAUUUCUGACUUCUGUUAGUUUUUGUGUCCACUUAUGUCUCUAAUGGGUGUGAGUUUUUCCCUAAGCUUUAAGAAUAUUUUUAUAUUAUUUUGAUAAUAUCAAAAUUGUGAUAACUCUAAUAUAAAUAGAUAUUAUAUUUAGUUAUAACAUUUCGACUAACGAAUAUUUUAUAUAAAAUUUGAAGUAUUUAUGAUGAGUCAGUCUUGGCAAAUAACACAAUUUAUAUCAGACUUUUAUAAUUUUCAUGAGCGAAAGAUUGUAUUUCAAGAGUGUAUCUUUUCCAAAAUUAUGAUUUGAUUUUUGAAAGAAGAGUCAUCCUCCUAACGUCAAUUAGCCUUCGAGGAAAGAGCCUUUUCUAAUGGAUGCAUUUGUCUCAAUUGGUCAUCCAUUUAGAUUGAGGGUAAGAAGAGUGAGCAAGAACCAUGUUGGUUUUAAUUAAUUUUUAUUUUUAAUUCAGAAAAGGACUGAAUAAAAACUCAAGGUGACAGAAUUGGAGAAGAGAAUGUAUACGAUGCAGUGUAUAAAUAAUUAGAGACGUGGCAUGGGUUUAAUAAAAAAAGUUAGAAGAAAAAGUAAUUUUCUGUACAAAAAAGUAUAAUCAGCUGGCACAUGAAAUGAAAGACCAAGACUUGGGUUUAUCAUUUGUCAAAAUCAAAAAUUCCAAGGCCAAUUUGACUGAUAACUUCAAGACCAAAGUUGCUGUAAUUGAUCUUGUCCAUUUCCAGCUCUAAUGAAAAGCUCGUACCAAAACUCAUCCAAACCUGAAACUGAUGAAUCCAGGCCAUAAUAAGAAUAGUCUUGUUCUAAUUCAUUGCUGAUCUCUGAAAAAUCUGACCAGAAACUUUGAUCAAUUUCUGGGAAAAUAUCCUCCAUGUUAUUUGUAAUUUCAGAAGAAGAAGCUUGUGGAGAAAGUGGGAGAGAUGAGGUGGGAGUUUCUGACGAUUUUGAUGUUAGAGAAGAAGGUUCAUUUUUUAUUUGUGAAAUAAUUGUGUUUGGUUUUUGUUUGAGCCUUUUCUUCAAGUGGGUAUGCCACACAUUCUUUAUCUCAUUGUCUGUCCUCCCUGGUAAUUUUGCUGCAAUUGCUGACCACCUAUAUAUAUAAUUAAAAAGAAAUAUUUCUGAUAAGAUAUUGGUAACUUAAUUAUGUGUGUGUGUGUAUACAUACAUAUAUAUAUAUAUAUAUAUAUGUUAAAGAGUACAGAGUAUUCAUGAGUGAAACAAUUAUAUUGGUCUAAGCAUUACCUAUUUCCCAGAAUCUGAUGCAAGUUGAUGAUGGUUUCCUCUUCUUCCGGCGUGAAGUUGCCUCGUUUAAUAUCGGGACGUAAGUAGUUAAUCCACCGUAGUCUGCAGCUUUUUCCACAUCUCAACAAACCUACACGAUCACAAUCGAACGCGAAUUCAUAUCCUAGUUCGGAUAAUAUAUAACUUUUGUUGAAGAUUCUGAGUUCGAAUUUUAUAAAUCAAUUACCGGCUAACUUAGGUAGAGCCCGCCAAUUAGCAUGGCCGUAUUUACGAAUGUAGUUGGUCAAGAUUUGAUCUUCUUCUGGCGUCCAUGGCCCUUUCUUCAAUCCCAUUUUCUCACAGCAAGGAGCUCUGCCCAUGAUUAAUGAUCCACAAGCUACAAUUUCUCUACUCCUCAACUGAAAAAAGUUGAAGGCAAAGACUGAUAUUUAUAGAGGAAGAGACCUUGAAAAGUCCAAGCCCACCACUUUGCUCUUUCCACGAACUCCCAAUUCAGAUAUAAAUACAUAUAUAUAUAUAUAUAUAUAGCUACUUUUAUGAUGAGAAGAAAUUAUUAUUUAUUGAUUUGAGAAAGAAGAAGACAAAGAAAGUAAGUUGGUCAAGAGUAAGGGUCAAGUUUAAAAUUUGAAUCAAGUAGAAUCUUUUUGUUUAAUAUAAUGUGGGCUAGGUAAUUAAAGCACAUGAGGGAUUAAAUCUCAAAUUUAAUUAUAUAUUCGCUUAGACAUAUAAAGUCUUAUACGUUGUCGUUUCUUUCUGUCUUUCUAUCUUUUAUUUUUCCACUUCAUAAUUAUUUCCAUUUUUCAUAAUAAAUAAUUAAUGGUAAGCAGAGUGAGUAAUUUCCAGGAAUUGCAUACGCAAACCCCACCACAUGAUCAACUACUUACUAUUCAUAAACAAACACUCGUGGGUUUGAUUAUUUUAAGCAUAUCAACUUGCAAAUCAUUAAAAACAUAUAUAUAUAUAAAUAUGUAUGUAUAUAUCAUAUGACCUCCAUGGGUAUAUAUUCUUCCUAAUACAAACUUACAAGUCAUGAAUAGUAUUGAUCGCAUCUUGAAUAAUGCAGCAGCACAUGCAUAAAGAUCAAAUUGCUGCAAAAUUCUUUUUCUCUAUAUAUUACAUUAUUAUACAUUCACAAUAAUAAUAUUAUAAUUCACAAGAAAUAUUUAACGUAAUUAAAUUUAAAAUAUUAAAUAAAAUUGCACUUUGUUUCAACUUAUCCUUUGGCGGGUAGUAAUUUUCACCUUAAUAGAGGUGAAUAAGCAAUACCAGUUUAAGUAGUGAUUUAAAAAAAAAAAAACAAAUUAAUAAUUUAUAUGUUUUUGUGGUGCUUAUAUACAAUUCAUAAUACUGCUAUAAACAUCAAAUUCAUUUUCCUUAGCACUAUUUUCUUCGUUGAUUUAUAAUAUUGAUUAUUAUUGUUGAUUUAUAAUAUUGAUUAUUAUUGUCUAUGUUAUAGUUAUUAUUAUUAUUAUUAUUAUUAUUAUUACUACUAUUUUUAUAGAAACUCAGAACUAAAAUAAAAAUAAAUUCAUAAAUUAAAUGCAGAAAUAAUUAAUAAAGUUAGAAUUUAUAUUUCUUACACAAUUAUUUUAAAUACCCAAUAGAGAUAUGAAUAUGUUUCUUCUAAAAAACAAACGGUAAUUAAAAAAAUAAAACGAAAAGCGAAUAACUAAACAUCUUAAAACAACAUUCACUAGUACUAGAAAAGAGUUCGGAUAGUGAAUCUUGCUGAUCGAGAUCUAAAUCUUGAUUUUCUUGAUCUAAAAUAAUUAAUGAAAGUGUGAACUACACUAAUCCAGUAAGAAUAUCACAUUAAUCACAGAUACGGAAAAUUAAAGAUUGGUAAAAAAUCAGAAAAAUAACAAAUGGAGCCCUUACUUUAUUUAAAUAUAUUUAAACUUAAACAUGUUUUUUUAAUACUUACCAUAACGAGUUUUUCAAAAACAACCUAUAAAGACUCCAUAUCCAUACCACUUUUCAUUUUCAUGCAUAAGAGAAUAAAAAGCAAUAGCUUUCUUUUCUUACUUACUUAUUGGUACCCUUGCGGAUCUAUGGGAAUGUCCCUCUUAUUCGUGAACCCAAUAUUCAAUUUACAAUUAACAAGCCGUCUCCAUAUCCUGUCUGGUAAUGGUCGCCAAAUAUUUCAUCACCUCGAUACUCCUUCCGAUAUGAGGGUGAAUUAUAUCUUCAAAACCUUUUCGAUAAGGGACUUUCCAGCCCCGCCCAACUGAGAUAACGUUCACAGUAGGGUUUCUUAUGUAUUAGGCUCGUCCACCAUUUCCCUGGGUAACUAACAACUCUUUCACAUAUAUAUUUUCAUCAACAAAUAAUCAAUAAAUGCAUUCCAAUAUCUCAUAUCACAUUCACAUAUAAAUUAAACGACAUUUAUGCAAAUGAUAUGAUUUAUUGUAACUGAAUAAACUAGAUAAAUCGAAAAAAUUAUUGAACUAUAAAUUAAGAACAUGUACUAUACGAAAAUAAAAUAAACAGGACAGUACAGAGAAAUAAACAGAAAAUCUAGAUAAUUGUGAACUGAUCGAUUUCGCCUCCACUAGUAACCUAUAAUUAUUUUUAGGAUUUUUAAAUUUUUCAUAAAACUACAAAAUUAUACAUCGUUAAGCCUCAAUUUACUAUAACGGAGAAUAGGGUGAGAGAUCCUAUCCGGAUUGGUGUUUUGAGACAUCGAGUUGUCUAUUACCUCUUAACAGGUACUGGGUUCCCUGAAUUUUUCAUGUGGAAUUCAAAACACUCAUCACGUAUCUAAAAAUACCCCAAAAAUCUAAAAUCGGUAUCCAAAACCCGUUCCAGCAAAUUUUGAGGUUCUGAUAUAGUGCCGGCUCCGUCGGCCAUGGUGGUGAUUUACUUCGAUCUGGCUAAGUUUGGCUAGUUUUGACUGUAUUCCUGCAGAAAAAUAUGUUAGAGGGUCUCAGUUGGCUAGAAAAUCACAAAAAUCGAACCUGCAGGCGGGGGGACCUCCGGGUGUUGCGGCUUUGCUUGUCUUCCUUCGCGGUUAAGAUUUUUUCUUCGGCUAACCCGCACAAAAAAAGACGAUGGAUACAAUGAUAAAAAAAUCAGGUGAAACGGGAAUCGGGAAGGGGCUCAUCAGAAAGAUUUUGGGAUUUUGGAUGUGGCAGCUUCGUCGGGCUUUGCCCGCAAUCUUCGCCUCACCUACUAUUUCUCUUGCUCUGAUUUGAACACAGGGGUGCUCAGAUUUAGGGUAGGGAGAAUUUUUACCUUUUUGGCGGUUGGUGGUGGCUCCAGUGCAACGAAGGUCGGUGGUCGGCCUCCUUCUCCGGCAUCUGGAUCUUCUUCUCUAGUGGGGGCUGACAGCUAGGGUUCAGGUUCUUGUGUAAUGUAAAGUAUUUAUACUCAUCUCGCCUUAAUCUGGACCGUCCAUCGUGAUCGAUCUCAUCCGUCCGAUCUCACUUAAGGAGAAAAUAAAUAUGCGUCAUUCAUCGUGAUUGAUCUUGGCCGUCCAAUCGCACUUAAGUGAGAAACAAAUUCGGACCAUCCAUGUACGCAGGACCGAUCAUGACUAGGUGUGCAAACUCUAUUUCUUUCAAAUGUUGGAGGUGCUAUAGAAGGUACUCUACAUUGAAGGCUAUUAAGAACUGUUCCCAAGUGACUGGAACGGGUAUGGUGGCUUGCUUGAGCUGCUACCAGCGGUUUGCCUCUCCCACAAGCAUAUACGUGGCAAGUACAACCUUCAGUUUGGGAACUACCCGAAGAGUCGUGAAUGUCUUCUCUGUCUCAGCUAUUUAAUACUCGGCUUCUUUAGAAGAGGAUGUCCUCUAAAGAUAGAUAGGUUUAAUUUUUUGUACCUUUCAAUGUACUCUGGGUUUAUUAUUGGUGGAACUGGAUUUCGUGGAAGAGGAACUAUAUAAUUCUGGGGAGGGACAGGGUGGCCCUGUGGUGAUGCUGGAUGAUAUGGUGAAGGCACUGGGUUGUACUGUCGUAGUUUUAAAUGAUACAAUGGAGGCAUCAGAUUGUAUUGUGGUGGUGUCGGAUGGCACGGCAAAUGAGUAGGGUUGUACCAGGGUAGCUUCAUAUUAUUUCGCUGUAAGAGUGGCUCAAAUUGUGGCAGCAGAGGAGGGUCAGACAACUCCCUCCUUUCCUCCCGGGCCUGCUGGGUAGAGAUGAGUCUCUUCAGCAUCUAAAAGAGUCAGUCAAUGUCCUCUCGAAGUGAGCCACCCCGGGCUGCUCGAUUUAGUGGAGAUCUUUCUCUCUUCAUUUUCUUGUACCUUCAUGUCACAAGGAAAGAUUAAACGAUAGUUUAUAUUUGGUGUUUUUAAGUCUUUGUAUAAGGAAUAAUUCCAAGAAACACGGCUCUUAUACCAAUUGUAGAAGUCUGGAACUAAAAUGAAAAUAAAUUUAUCAAUUAAAUACAGAAAUGAUUAAUAUAGUUAGAGUUUACAUUCCUUAUAUAAUUAUUUUAACUGCCCAAUAGUGCUACGAGAGUGUCUAUUCUAAAAGACAAAAUAGUAAUUAAAGAAAUAAAAUAAAAAACAAAUAACUAAGUAUCCUAAGAUAACAUUCACUAGCACUUGAAGGGAGUUCGGAUAGUGAACUACUCACAACCCUUUUGCUGAUCGGGAUCUUGAUCUUGAUCUUGAUCUUGAUCCUCUUAAUCUAAAAUAGUUAAUGAAAGGGUGAGGUACACUAAUCUAGCAAGAAUAACACACUAAUCAUAGAUAUUAAAAACUAAAGAUCGGUAAAAAAUUAGAAAAAUAACUAAUGGAGUUCUUACUUUAUUUAAAUACAUUUAAACUUGAAGAAGUUUGUUUAAUACUUAACAUAACGAAUUUGUAAAGACCCAGAACUUAAAAGGAAAUAAAGUAAUGAAUUAAAUGCAUAAGUGAAACAAUAGAGUUUAGAGUUUAUAUUCUUUACACAAUAAUUUAGAAUGUUCAAUAGGGUCACGGGCAUGACCUUUUCAAAAGAACAAACAAAAUUAAGGAAAUAAAUAAAAGACAAUAUGUUGAGCAUUCUAGGACGACCUUCACUAGUUUUUGAAGGGAGUUCGAGUAAUGAACUAUUCACAAUCCUCUUGUUGCUCGGUAUCUGGGUCUUGGUCCUCUUGAUCUGAAAUAAUUAAUGAAAUGGUGAGUUACACUAACCUAGUAAGAAUAUCACACUAUUCACCGAUACAGAAAUUGAAGAUUAGUAAAAAUUAUAAAAACAAUCAAUGAAGCUUUUGAUUUAAGUAAAUUCAUUUAUCAUAAAGAAAAUAAUUUAUUGCAUAUAUUUACUGUUGUGAGAGUUUUAAAAUCGACGUAUAGAGAAAAUAAUUAAAAUAAUAUUCCACUCUCAUAUUCAAGUGAGCAAGAACAAAAUUUUUUUCAUUUUAUUUCCCUUCUGAUAUCCCUGAGAGCACGUAGGGAUGUCUCACUACGCGUGAACUAAUAUUUAACUUUGUCAACUAACCGACUGUCCUCAUAACCCGUCCGAUAUGAGUGCCAAAAAUAUCAUAUCUUAAUAUCCUGUCUGGUAUGAGGGUUAAACGGGUCGUUCCCAUACCCUGUCCGGUAUAAGCGUCAAAAAUACCAAUUCUCGAUAUCUCGUCUAGUAUGAGGCAACGUCCACGGUGGGAUUCUCUAUGUACCUUGUCCGUCCACCAUCUCUCAGGAUAUCUAGUAAGGCUACUAUUCAUAAUUCACAUGACCAAUCAAUUUUUCGUUUCAUAUUAAUUACCAAUUUCACAAAUCAACUGUAAAUCACGCAAGACAAAAAAAAAUAUAUAUAUAUCAAGGAAGCAUAAAUGAAUCAAUUAAUCAUUUCAGUAUAUAAUCAUGUAUUUAAAGCUGUAAAUUCAACAAUAAGUUAAAUAGGAUAAAAAAUAAAUAACUAACCGAUUUUCGACUCCAUUUGUUCAUGGGAGUGCUCGGAAUCAAAUUCUGAGUGGAUAUGAGAAUUUUUGCCUUUUUUGGCGGUCGAAGGCAGCUCCAGCGCGGCAGCAAGCGGUGGUCGGCUCCCUUUUUCGGCGACUGGUUCUUCUUCUCCAGCGGGAGGCUGGUAGCUAGGGUUUAGGUUUAGUGUGAUACAAGAUAUUUAUACCUGUCCUCCUUAAAUCUGGGCCGUUCAUCGCGUUUUAUCUCAUCGUUUGAUCGUGUUUAAAGAAAAAAUAAAUAUGGACCGUUUAUCGCGAUUUGAUUUCGACCGUCCAAUCACAUUUAAAGAGGGAAUGAAACUAGACCGUUCAUCGUAUUUAGUCACGAUUGUCCGAUCGCGCCUGAGGAGAGAAAUGAUUCAGACUGUCCAUGUGCACAGGAACGUUUUCGGGCUGUCUGAUUGCGGGCACGUAGAUUGCCAGUGUGACCUCCCGCGUGGUACCGAGUCAGUGUGCCUUACAACGCGGCGCGCUCCUAUUCGUUGGGGGUUGCUAACUAGGUGGUCCUAUUUGGCGCAAUUUUUUUCAUUGCAUUUUGACCUAUAAUUUUUUAUUUUUCUUUCAAAAACACCAUACGAACCCAAAUUUUCAGCUAUUUUUCCUAAAAUUAUUUUUAAUUUCAUUCUCAACCUAUUUUUUUCAGUAAUUUCACAUUAAAUAAAAAUUUAUUAAUUUCAAAAUUAUAUUUUUAUACAUUUUUAAAAUUUUAAAUUUAAUCCAGGGUCAAGUUCUGGAUCUGGGUAUUACAACUCUCCCCCCUUAAAAGAAAUUUGAUCCCUCAAAUUUAUUUCUCUCACACUCAAUCAAACAAUUGGGGAUACUGAGAUCUGAAAUCUGAUUCUAGCUCCUAUGUUGCCUCUCUCUGGGUGUGAUUAUGCUAUAAGACCUUAACAAAGGAAAUUUUUCAAUUGCAGAGUACUUUGCUAUUUCGGUUCACAAUACCCACUGAAACCUCCUCACAUGACAGAUCCUAAUGAAGUGAAAGGGGCUCGUGGACUAAGAUAUGAGAGGGGUCUGAGUUGUACUUGCAUAGUAUGGACACGUAAAACAUAUUAUAGAUCUUAGAUAGUUCUAGAGGUAGUGCCAGGCUGGGAGGCGACGGUACCAAUUCUAUCUAAGAUUUUAAAUAUUCUAAUAAACCGGGGAUUUAGUUUCCCCCUCUUGCCAAACCUACUGAUUCUAUUGAAAUGAGUGACCUUAAGGAACACUCGAUCACCUUUCUCAAAUUCCAAAUUUCUCAUCCUGGUGUCUGCAUAACUCUUCUGCCCGCUCUGAGUUGGUUGGAUGUUCUUCAUGAUCUUAACUAUUUUGGUUGUAGUCUCCUUCACAAGAUCUGAGCCGAAUAAUUUCUUAGCACCUACAACUUCCCAACAGAUCUGCGAUCUAUAUGGGCGGCCAGAUAACGCAUCGUACGGAGCUAUGCGAUUAUUGCUUGGUAGCUGUUAUUGUAGGUGAACUCUAUUAAGGGUAAACAAUCAUCCCAAUGGCCCCCGAAGUUAAGAACACAAGCUUGGAGCAUAUCAUCGAGUGUGCGGAUCAUCUUUUUUGAUUGUCCAUCGGUUUGAGGGUGGAAUGCGGUACUAAGAGGCAGUUUCGUUCUCAUGACUUACUGAAAACUAGACUAUAACCGAGAAGUGAACCUGGGGUCCAUUUCGGAUACUACUGUCACUAGCACUCCAUGUAACCUAACUAUCUCCCAAAUAUAAAUUCUUGCUAGCUUGUUAGAGGGGUCGGUCAUCUUGAUGGCCAAGAAGUGGUAAGACUUAAUGAGUCGGUCAAUAAUUUCCCAAAUGAUAUCAUGUCCUGAGCGUGCCCUAGGCAAUCCUGUCACAAAAUUCAUUGUGAUGUGUUCCCACUUUAUAUCAAGAAUCAGUAAUUGCUGAAGUAGCCCGCCUGAGCGUUAAUGCUCUGUCUUGACUUACUGACACGCCAGAUACUUGAAAAUAAAGUCGACCACCUCUCUUUUCAUCCCGUUCUACCAAAAUCGGGGUCGCAUAUUUUGAUACACAUUAGUGCUUCUGGGAUGCAUGACAAACUUUGAGCUAUGAACUUCUGUCAUGAUGUCCCUUUUUAGCUCACUAUCAUAUGAAACAAGCAUCCUAUCCUGAAAUAUGAGCAAUCCAUCGACAGAGACUUGAAAUUCUGAAUUUACUCCCUAUUCUCUUUUUUUAGGGCUACUAGGGUGGAAUCGGCGGAUUGAGCUUCCUUUAUUCUCUAGAUUAACUCAGGUCGAACAGUUAGGUGGGCCAAACAUAUAACUCUUUUCAGGUCCUAAAGUCGUACCUGUUGUGCGACCGUUAUUACUUUACAUUCUGAAAUCAUUAGGUGAGCUAAUAUACCUGCACUUUUUCUGUUGAGUGCGUCGGCCACUAUGUUGCCCUUGCCAGGGUGAUACAAAAUGUUGUAGUUGUAGUCCUUGAAUAGUUCUAUCAAUUAUUUCUGACGCAUGCUGAGAUCCUUUUGAGUUAAUAUGUGUUUUAAGUUUUUAUAGUCGGUAUAUAUAUGAAAAUUCUCCCCAUAGAAGUAAUGGCACCAAAUUUUUAACUCGUGGAUAAUCGCGGCAAGUUCUAAGUUAUGGGUGGGGUAGUUUUUCUCAUGACUUUUCAAUUGCUUAGACCCAUAUACUAUGAUCUUCCCAUGCUACAUCAGAACACAAUCCAACCCCAGGUAGGAGACAUCACUAUAAAUUGUAUAUCCACCUGUCCCGCUCGGCAAGGCUAACAUAGGUGCAGUAGUCAACCGCUUAUUUACUUCUGAAAAGCUCCUUUCAUAAUUUUUAUUCCGCUCAAACUAAACGUUCUUCUUUGUGAGCCGAGUCAAAUGAGUAGCUAGGCUAGAAAAUCCUUCCACAAACCUGCAAUAAUAACCUAUCAUCCCCAGAAAGCUACGAAUCUCCUUCAUCGAGAUUAAUUUCUCCCAACCGAACACUGUCUUAACUUUUUCGGGGUUCACUAACACUCUAUCCCUUAAUAUGAUGUGCUCUAAGAAGGUAGUCUGCUCGAGCCAGAACCCACACUUACUCAAUUUUGCAUACAACUUCUUUUCUCUAAGAACCUGCAAAACUUGAGUUAGAUGGUGAGCGUAUUCCUCUCUACUUUUUGAAUAGAACAGGACAUUACUGAUAAAUACAAUGAUGAACUAAUGCAGAAAUUGUCUGAAAAUCUUUUUCAUCAAAUCCAUGAAGAUGGCUAGUGCAUUGGUUAGUCCAAAUGACAUGAUCAGGAACUCAUAGUGUCCGUACUUGGUUCAAAAAGCUAUUUUGGGAAUGUCUUUUGCCUUGAUCUUUAUUUGAUGGUAACUUAAAUGUAAUUCUAUUUUGAAGAAGACCUAGGCACCCUGUAACUGAUCAAAAAGGUAAUUGAUCUUGGGGAGAGGGUACUUGUUCUUAAUCGUGACACUAUUCAGUCCACUGUAGUUAAUACAUAACCUUAACAUCCCAUCCCCUUUCCUUACAAAUGUGACUCCAGCACCCCAAGGAGAAACAUUGUGUUGGAUGAACCCACUAUCUUACAAUUUCUUGAUCUAUUUCCUCAACUCUUUCAUACCAACAUGACUCAUGCUGUAAGAAAAAAUUAAAAUAGGUUGCGUUCCAUGCUGAAGGUCUAUGGUGAAUUCAACUUCUCUGUCUAUUGAUAGUCUAGAAAGUUCAUCAUGAAACACAUUAAGAAAGUUUUGGACUAGCGGGAUCUCUUGAAUACAAAUUUCUUUCUUAGAUUCGUCUAAUUUAGAUAAAACAACCGAGUUAAAGUGCUAUGUAAUAAGAAAAUUGCUAUGAGGGAGUAAUAUUCAAAACUUUUAUUAGUUUGUAAAUGACUCUUCGUUAGGAGGCUUAACUAUAAUUUUUCUCGUUAAAACAACCCAUGGUGGCGUGGUACAUUGCUAACCAGAUCAUUCUUGAAAAUACAUCAAGGUCUCCCAUGUCAAUCUUUAUCAGGUCCAUCAUGGGUGAAACCGUGUCCUGUAGAGUAGGGGCCAGAUUUUGCUCGGGAGGGACCAAGUGGCCUUGUAAUGGUGCUGAAUGAUACGGUAGGGGCUUUGAAUUGUAUUGUGGCGGUGUCGGAUGAUGUAACGGAGGAGCAGGGUUACAUUGAGGUGGCGUUAGAUCCUCUCGUUGUAGAGGUGGCUCAUAAUGUGGAAGUGGUGGAUGGUCAAACAGUUUCCUCUUCUAUUCUCUAGCCUACUGGGCAUAGAUGAUCUCUCUAAAAUCUUGAAGAGUCGAUUGACAUCCUCAUCGAAGCGGUUCGUUUCAGGCUACCCUAUUUGAUAAGGGACCUCAUCUUCUCGUGUCUUUGAACUUUAUGUUUUAUAAGGAAUGGUUGAGUGGUAAUUCGUAUUUGGUAUUUUUAAGUUUUUGUGUAAGAAAUGGUUCUGAGUAACGCGGUUCUGAUAGCAACUGUAAAGACUCAGAAUUUAAAAGAAAAUAAAGUUAUGAAUUAAAUGUGGAAGCCAAAAUAUAGAGUUUAGGGUUUACAUUCAUUAGACAAUAAUUUAGAAUACUCAAUAGGGGUACGAGAAUGAUCAUUCUAAAAGAACAAAUAAAAUCAAAGAAAUAAAUAAAAGGCAAUAUGCUGAGCAUUAUAGGACAACCUUCACUAGCUUUUGAAAGGAGUCUGGGUGGUGAACUAUUCACAAUCCUCUUAUUGAUCAAGAUCUGAGUCUUGUCUUCUUGAUCUGAAAUAGUUAAUGAAAGGAUGAGCUACACUAGUCAUAAGAAUAUCACACUAUUUACUGAUACAGAAACUGAAGGUUGUUAAAAAUCAUAAAAACGACCAAUGGAGCUCUUGAUUUAAAUAAAUUCAUUUUAUCAUAAAGAAAAUAAUUUAUUGCAUAUAUUUACUAUUGUGAUAUUUCUAAAAUCGACUUUUAGAGAUAAUAACCCAAAUAACAUUCCAAUAUCAUAUUCAAGUGAGCAAGAAUAAUAACUUUUUUUUUUAUUUGCCUACUAAUAUCUCUCGGGGCCUAUAGGGAUAUCCUAUUACGCGUGAAUCAAUACUCAACAUUGUCAACUAACUGGUCGUCCCCAUACCCCGUACGGUAUGAGCACAAAAAAUAUCAUCUUUCAAUAUCCCGUAUGGUAUAAAGGUGAAACGGUCAUCCCCACAUCCCAUUCGGUAUGAGAUAACGUCCACGGUAGGGUUCUCUAUAUACCCGAUCCGUCCACCAUCUUAUAAGAUAUUCAGUAAGGCUACCAUUCAUUAAUUUACAUGACCAAUCAAUUUUUUGUUUGCAUAUUUAUUACUAAUUUCACAAAUCAACCUUAAAUCACGCAAGACAAGCAAUAUAUAUAUCAAGAAAGAACAAUUGAAUCAAUUAAUCAUUUCAGUAUAUCAUCAUAUAUUUAAAGCUGUAAAUUCAAUAAUCAGUUAAACAUGACAAUAAAUAAAUGACUAACUAGUUUUCGACUCCAUUAAUAACCUGUAAUUAUUCUCAAAGUUUUCUAGAUUAUAUAAAAUACCAUAUUACCGAUUAUUAAGCUUCAAUUUUAUAACAGGGAAUGAGAUGAUAGAUUUUUACCCGAAUUGGUGUCUAAAAUACUAAACUUUCAGCUGUUUCUACUGGUGGUCCAUGAUUUUUUUGAAUUUUCAUAUGGAGAUUAAAACACAAUUCACGUACCUAAAAAUACCCUAAAAAUAUAAAAUCAAUAUUAAAAAUCUUUUUCGACCAAUUUCGAAAUUUUGACAAGGCGGCACCACCAUGGUUCGACGAUGGCACUGUCGCCCGUAGCGGUGGUUUGCCUCAGCUUUGCCGUUCUCAACUAGUUUUAGCCGAUUUCAUCCAAUUUUAUACAAGAAAACACAUUUGGGGGUCUCGGUUGGCCGAAAAAAGUAAAAAAGCAAAAACCUACUGGUGACAGAAUUUUUAGUGCGGUGGCUCUACCGGCUCAUCUUCACGACUGGGUGUUUUUCUUCGGUCAACCUAUAGAAAAAAGAAUAGUAAACACAAUGGUAAAAAAAUCACACGAAACGGAAAAUGGGGAGGGGUUCAUCGGAGGUGGUUUUGGGUUUUUUCUACCGCAGUGCCGCCAGGUUUUGCUUGCAGUUUUCGUCUCAUCUGCCUUUUCUUUUGAUCUGAUUUGACCAUGGGAGUGCUCAGAAUCAAAAUUUGAGCAGAUAAGAAAUUUUUUUUUCUUUUUUGGCUGUUGAAGGUGGCUCCGGCGCGGCGGCGGGCGGCGGUCUGCUCCCUUCUCUAACGACUGAUUCUUCUUCUCCGACGGGAGGCUAGUGGCUAGGGUUUGGGUUCGGUGUGAUGUGAGAUAUUUAUACCCGUCUCCUUUAAAUUUGGAUCGUUCAUUGUGUUUGAUUCGACCUUCCAAUCGUAUUUAAAGAGGAGACAAAUCUGAACCGUUCAUCGUGUUUAAUCUCUAUCGUCCGAUCUCGCCUGAGGAGAGAACGGAUCCUAACCGUCCACGCGCGCAGGAAUGCUUCCGCACUGUCUGAUCGCAGGCACACAGAUUGUUAACGUGGCCUCCCGUGUGGCACCGAGUCAGUGUGCCUUGCCACGUGGCGAGCUCUUGUUGGUCGGGGUUAUUGACUGAGCGGUCCUACGUGGUGCCAUUUUCUUUAAUUGUAUUUUGACCUCCAAUUUCUGAUUUUUCUUUCAAAAACUCCAUCCGAACCCAAAUUUUCACCUUUUUUUCCAAAAUUAUUUUUAAUUUCAUCAUCAACCCAUUUUUUUUCCUAAUUUUACAUUAAAUAAAAAUUUAUUAAUUUUAAAAUUAUAUUUUUAUACAUUUUUAAAAUUUUAAAAUUAAUCCUGGGCCAAAUUCUGGACCCAGGUAUUACAGAAUUUUUCAAAGACAACCUAUGAAGACCCAUAUCCAUAACACUUUUCACUUUUACGCAUAAGAAAAAAAGAAAUAAUAGUUUUAUUUUAUUACUUGCUUAUUGUUAACCAUUGGGGUAUAUAGGGAUGUCUCCCCUACUUGUGAAUCUAAUAUCCAAUUUACAAUUAACUAGCCGUCCCCAUACCCAAUCCAGUAAUGAGCACCAAAUAUUUCAUCGCUUCGAUACCCCAUCCGCUAUAAGAGUGAACCAUAUCUCUCAAACUUUUUCGAUAAGGGACUUUCCAGCUUCGUUAGACUGAGAUAACGUUCACGGUAAGGUUCUUUAUGUAGUGGGCUCGUCCACCCUUUCCCUGGGUAACCAACAAGUCUUUCACAUAGAGAUUUUCAUUAACAAACAAUCAAUAAACGCAUACCAAUAUCUUAUAUGUAAGGACUAGAAGGUAGAAAGAAUAGAAAAAAUAAAAAAAAAAAAAAAAAAUAAUAAUAAUAAUAAUAAUAAUAAUAAAAACGACGUCGUUUUAGAGAAGGGAAAAACGACGUCGUUUUGAAAGAAAGAAAAACGACGUCGUUUUGGGAUGUAGGAAAACGAUGUCGUUUUGGGGUAGGCUGGCAGAGUAUAAAAGGAGGUCGGAAAAGGGAGAAAGGGAAAAAGAAAAAAAAAAAAGAAAGAAAAGGAAAAAGAGAAAAAGAGAAAAGGAGGGAAGGAGGAGAGCGGAGACGAAGAAGAAGAGGAAAGUUCCAGAAGGAGAGAGGAGAGAGUCGGGGCGGAGGGGAGCGAGAAGGGAGAGGGAAGGAGGCCGUGGACGGACGACGCGACCGGCAGGAAGAAGGAGGAUGGAAACGGGAGGUACGGUGAAAAUUUGAGUUGUUUGGUGUGGUGUGUGUGUGUAGAGAAAUUUGGUUGCAGGUUGCGGCGUCGGCAAUGGCGCGACGGAGUGGAACAAUGAAGGUAGGCCGUAAGCGUGGGGUUGUCCCGCGCGCUCACGGAGGUGAUCGGGGAAGGAAGGGAAAGUAUGGCGGUGUUGGAGGCGUGUGGGGGGGGGGGCCGUGGGGAAGGAUGGGGGUGGUACGGGUAGAACAGAGUGAGGAGGAUGUGAGAGAACAAUCUAGGGGCGCGGGUGGGAUAAAAACUCGAGAGGACAGAAGAGGUGUGUGUGUGGUGUGUGCGUGGGUGGGGAUGUGGAGGGAGUCGUUAAUAGGCGGUGAUGUGUUUCCCCGAAAUGCCCGGUGGUGAGGGCGUGUAUGUGGCGUGAAACGGUGCAAGCUGAGAGGUUAAUCGCCCUAGGUAGGCAAAAGUGUAUAGGAACCGGGAGGAGGCAGGAGGAUGGGGGAGGUAGUGGGUAGGGGGCAGUGGGAGAGGGAAGGGAGCUGGAAGGUACGGCAGAGGGGACUAGGAAGCAGGAUUUGAGGGGGAUUGGAUGGGAGAAGAAGAGUAAUGUGGUCAGUAGGAGUUAGUAAGUUAGAAUGCUUGGGACUAGCAUGGUACAAGGGGAGAUUUGGAGACCGUUGGUAGGGGCGGGCUGAGUUGCCGAUGUUGGUGGAGCAGGGAGGGGAUAUGUAUGUGAGUGUGGCCUAGCAAGGCCGAGAGGGGUAGAAGGGUGCAUGAUUCACGGAAGGUGGUGACGGGAGGUGGAAGUGUUUGUGUGUGUGCGUGGCCCAACGAGGUCGAGAGAUGGAGGAGUGAGUAUGAGUCGCCGAUGUUGGUGACGCGAGAGGAUGGUCUUUGUGUGUGUGUGUGGCCUCUUUAGGUCGAGAGGUCGAGGAGUGAGUAUGAGUCGCCGAUGUUGGUGACGCGAGACGAUGGUAUUUGUGUGUGUGUGUGGCCUCUUUAGGUCGAGAGGUGGAGGAGUGAGUGUGAGUCGCCGAUGUUGGUGACGCGGAAUAAUGGUGUGUGGGUGUGUGCGUGGCCUAUUAGGUCGAGAGGUGGAGAUAUAGAUGUGAGUCGCCGAUAUUGGUGACGUGGAAUGAAGGUGGUUGGGUGUGUGUGUGUGUGUGGCCUCGUAGAGGUCGGGAGAUGGGGGAAGAGUGUAUGAGUCACCGAUGUUGGUGACGAGAGUUAGUGGAUGAUUGUUGGGUGGGGGGGGGGUUGUUUGGCCGUGCUAUUGCCUUGGAAUGGGACCUUGAUAAUUAGUGUAGGGAGAGGGUUAUGAGUUGUUGGGGUUGGGUAGGAUAAAUGCAUAUAGACAUUUCUGGAAAUUCUUGUCACUGCAUAUCACACUUACAACUUGAUUUUUAUCGUAUUGAGUUAUGUGAACUCACUUCUCAUCAUUCACAGGUGGAGUAAGGACGGAAUUGGGAUCCGAGCGGCUGGUAACGGAGCCCCGUCGGUAGUGCCAUAGGGCACGAGUUUUGUUUGUGAUUUAAAGUAGUUUGAAAGGAUGGUUUAGUCUGGAUAUUGAAUAUCUAGGAAUGUUUGAUAUUGUGUUACUAUGUGUUGUAGAGGUGGAGAUGUAUGUACAAUUGAUUUGGAACAUGGAAGGUGGAUAAAUUUCUCUUGUGCAUGGUUGGAAUAAUAUGGAUUUCGGUAUUGUGUUGUAUGCGUGCUUUAUCGUACACCGUUAAGAAAAAA